UACGUAGGGGGCAAGCGUUGUCCGGAUUCAUUGGGCGUAAAGCGCGUGUAGGCGGCCAGGUAGGUCCGGUGUGAAAACUCGAGGCUCAACCUCGAGAGGUCAUCGGAAACCAUCUGGCUAGAGUCCGGAAGAGGAGAGUGGAAUUCCCGGUGUAGCGGUGAAAUGCGCAGAUAUCGGGAGGAACACCAAUGGCGAAGGCAGCUCGCUGGGACGUUACUGACGCUGAGACGCGAAAGCGUGGGGAGCAAACAGG
rnacentral:rRNA from 1 species